CACAAACCACAAGAUCAUGACCUGAGCCAAGAUGAAGAGUGAGACGCUUAACCAACUGAGCCACCUGGCGCCCUUGUCUUCUUUCGUUUAAACCGUGCCGCUCAGUUGCAUGGAACCCCCUCAGCUAAUCCUGCAGCACAAGGUAUGAGUAUAUGGAUAUACACAGAUAAUGGACUUUUAGAAAAAUUGGGGAUUGUACUAACAGCAGUGAGAAUGAGCAAGACACAAAUAUAGUGACAACAUAGACUUAACAAAUGUGAUAUUGAGCAUAGAAAGCCAGACACAGAAAAGUAAGUAUUGUAUAGUUCCAUUUGUAUCAAGUUCAAAAAAGUCAAAACCAACCUGUGCUGUUCGAAGUCAAGAUGCAGGCUAACCUUGGUGGUGGGGAGGGCAAAGAAGAGGCAGAGUCUCAAAAAAGAACAUGAAAGGGAUUCUGAUAUGCUGCCAGGAUGUUCUAUUUCUUGAUCUGAUCAAUUAGCUGGGUAUGUUCACUAUGUAAAAACUUUUCAAUCAUACAGGUAUGAUUUUUGCCUUUUUCCUUAUGUAUACUGUUUGUCCUUAAAAAAUAAAAAUACAGAUUUCUAAGCCCUA